GAGGAUCCUACUGUCUCCCCCCUCUAAUCAGUGAAACUGAUCUCCCCGUGAAGAAGCGGGGAUAUACAUAUAAGACGAGAAGACCCCAUGGAGCUUUAAACCUGACAGCACCCGCUCAUUCUAUACCCCAUUAUUUGCCCGACCCCUGUCUGCUCAGUUUUAGGUUGGGGUGACCACGGAGUAUAAAAUAACCUCCAUGAAGAAGGGGAUAUUUCCCUUAUUAGAGAACCACACUUCCAAGAACUAAUAAAUUAAUUUUCAAUGACCCGAUACCCGAUAAUCGAUCAACGAACCAAGUUACCCUGGGGAUAACAGCGCAAUCCACCCUGAAAGCCCUUAUUAACAGGUGGGUUUACGACCUCGAUGUUGGAUCAGGGUAUCCCAGUGGUGCAGCAGCUACUGAGGGUUCGUUUGUUCAACGAUUAAAACCCU
rnacentral:rRNA from 1 species